rnacentral:misc_RNA from 1 species
UCGCGGCUUAUCACCGGCAGUCGCCUUAGAGUGCCCAACUAAAUGAUGGCAACUAAGGCCGAGGGUUGCGCUCGUUGCGGGACUUAACCCAACACCUCACGGCACGAGCUGACGACAGCCAUGCAGCACCUGAACCGGCAGUCCCCGAAGGGAAAGUCCUAUUUCUAGGACGGUCCACCGUUGUCUAGCCCAGGUAAGGUUCUUCGCGUUGCGUCGAAUUGAACCACAUGCUCCACCGCUUGUGCGGGCCCCCGUCAAUUCCUUUGAGUUUCAGCCUUGCGACUGUACUCCCCAGGCGGCAUAUUUAACGCGUUGGCUACGCCACAAAAGGGGUCGAUUCCUUUUACAGCAAAUACGCACCGUUUACGGCUAGGACUAC